rnacentral:rRNA from 1 species
UACAGAGGUCUCAAGCGUUGUUCGGAUUCAUUGGCGUAAAGGGCGCGUAGGCGGCUCGCCAGGUCGGGGGUGAAAUCCCGCAGCUCAACUGCGGAAGUGCCUUCGAUACCGGCGGGCUCGAGGAAGGUAGGGGUGCGCGGAACUUCUGGUGGAGCGGUGAAAUGCGUAGAUAUCGAGAGGAACACCUGCGGCGAAGGCGGGUGCUGGGCUGACACUGACGCUGAUGCGCGAAGCCAGGGAGGCGAACGGG